rnacentral:lncRNA from 1 species
CUCUCUCUCGGCAUGGACACAAAAGAAAAGCCAUGUGAGGACACAGAGAGAAGGUGGCUGUCUACGAGCUAGGAAGAAAGGCCUCACCGGAAACCAACCCUCACAGCAGCUCCAUCUUGGACUUCCAGCCUCCGGAACUGUGAGAAAAUAAAUGUUUGCAAUUCAGGUCGGUUGUAUUUUGUGAAGGCCAUCCUAGCAAAUGAAUACUCCUAACAUUGUCUCUUUAAGAGCUCACCAGCCUGAGGUAGGAAUCAUUCCAUCUGUGUUACUAAUGAGACCGCUGAGGAUCAAAGGGGUGAGUAAAUUGCUUAGCAGUGCCUAGGUUUUAUGUAGUGAAUUUGGCUAAAAUGGUAGAGCUCCCUGAUUCUAACCUCCCUGCAGGUUUUCCACCACAUCCACUCACCUCUACAUGGCGAAAACCAAGGGUUCACUCUCUGUCUUCAGGGAGCUCCACCCAGCAGCAGCGUUUGACAGAGCUGUUCACUUCCUCUUCCUGGAGCUGUGGCUUCCAGAGCCCAUGCUCAGCAGUUCCCCUCCUUCUUCGACUGCUCCUCUCUUAGGCUCAGAGCCACUCAGACAUUGGGAAGCAAGUUUGUCAAGAUGACAGAGAACCGAGGUAAUGGAUUCGAGUGAUGAAACAGGAAGUUCAUUCAUGAGUUUUUGGCCACACCUCCAAAGUGACGACUUAGCCAGAAAUGGGAUAACUGGGUUUCCCUACUUCUCUUUUAUCAUCCUCAAUGAGAGUGACCAAAUAUUAGAGCUAGAUGGAACCUUAGUGAAAAUCUGGCUACUCGUCCCGUCCCACCAGCCUGCCACCCAUUUCAAGUUUGAAGAGACAAAGACACAUGGACCUUAUGUAAUUACUGGGGAUUACCCCAGGAGUCUGUGGCAAAAGUCAGCUUCUUCCCUCCCUGCUUCCCCGCCCUGUCUCUGGUACUUUCUACCAACACUGGGCUGUUUCUGUGAUCACACUUAAGCGUACCUAACCUGCGAAUGCUGUAUAGAAGGUGCUAAUGAACAUGAUUUAGCUUUAACACUCAGUUUUCUAAAGGGACACGUGGGGGCAGCAAAUGUUUAGGCAAAAACAAUUCCAGUUCUAGCCUCUACUGUCUACAUAUGUGUAUACAUUUGGGAAACGUUUGGGAAAGGGAUAUUUGAGAGCUUC